AUACGUAGGUGGCAAGCGUUAUCCGGAUUUACUGGGUGUAAAGGGCGUGUAGGCGGGAGUGCAAGUCAGAUGUGAAAACUAUGGGCUCAACCCAUAGCCUGCAUUUGAAACUGUACUUCUUGAGUGAUGGAGAGGCAGGCGGGAUUCCCUGUGUAGCGGUGAAAAGGGUAGAUAUAGGGAGGAACACCAGGGGCGAAGGCGGCCUGCUGGACAUUAACUGACGCUGAGGCGCGAAAGCGUGGGGAGCAAACAGGAUUAGAUACCCUGGUAGUCCACGCCGUAAACGAUGGAUACUAGGUGUGGGGGGUCUGACCCCCUCCGUGCCGCAGUUAACACAAUAAGUAUCCCACCUGGGGAGUACGGCCGCAAGGUUGAAACUCAAAUGAAUUGACGGGG
rnacentral:rRNA from 1 species